UGUGACCAUCGCCUCACCACCACAACCACACACACAGCGACCGGCUCACCACGGUCCGUUUUUUAAUUCACCUCACCGCCGUAGCCGCGUGACGAUAUUUUUCAAUGUUUCAAAACAUCGCGAACAUAUUUUUCCAGAACAUUGUAUUUAUUGCUGUUGGGGACCAUUUGGUAAUUUGUAACUAUGCACCGGUGGAACGAACAAAAGUAUGUAUUCGUUACUGAUUUAUAAUCCAAGACCGUGAUUACAGGAAUUCCGCUUAUCAAUAGUCGGUUGUCUAUUUGUUUUCGUAGAUUUCGUGACGGAAUAUUAUUUUUUUACCGUGUGUGUUUGUCUGACUAAAACAAUAAAUUGGCGCUUUCAAACGUUCAUUUUUUAAUAAUACAAAUAACAUUUCAUCAAAUUCGUCACUGCGAAAUCAAAAAGUUAUGUUUCAUUCAAUUGUCUUUUGUGCAGUACUCGGCAAUAUUGCAGUAGACAUUAUUAUGAGACCGGAAUACAGGUGUUGAAUACAUUGCAAGACUGAGUGAUCGAGGCUACCCACGUCCAUUGAUCGAGUUCUCUUUUCUAAGUUCCAACUGCAUACAAUACAGAUAACUGUCUACUGAUAAGGCUAACUUUAAUAUCCGACCUUUCAAAUUUGUCUCGGUGGUUGCAUUUUGAUAUUAAUUAUUUUAACUUUAUUUUUGAUAAUAAUAUAUUAUAACACUACGUUUUAAAAAAGGUAUAGUGUGCGGUAAUAGAUCUAAUAACACCCAUGUCAAUCGAGAAGGAGUUAAUUAUCAUGGAAUUCCCAAGAAUGAAUACAUGAGAAAAAGAUGGCUUAACGUUUUAGGAAUUGAUCGGUGUCAUGAAUGGCAACGUAUAUGCAGUGAUCAUUUUUUAGAAGAAAACUUUAAGUCAGGAAAAAAGUAGUUAUGCUACUCAAAGUAAUGAUGUUGAAACUGGUAAUAAUGAAUUUUACCAAUGGAACAAAAUAUAAGGAAUACUGAAGAAUACUAAAGAACAGAUUAAAACCAGUCGCUGUUACAUCAUUAUUUUUGGAUAAUGCACCUAAUGCUUUGCUGCCAGUGUCAAUUAAUGAGGUACCUGUAUUGAGUACAUGUGAAGAUCAAUUCAUAAAUCCAAUUGAUAAUGAAGCUGCUGAACAGUCGUCAGAAGAAAAAAAAACAAUGUUAAAGAUAAUACAGAUAAUACUUCCAUGACAAUUGAUAAUUCAUCUAAUAGUAGUUCUUUGUCCAUUACUUUGGAACCAAUUGAGAAAAGAACCUUACAAUGUAUUAUAAUGGAUGUUUGAAAUACUGAAGAUUUUACAAGGGAUGAUGAACACGGGUUUAUUUUACAAGAAAAUAAAAUAAUGUACUGGGUGCUAUGUAAAAAAUUCCUGGUACAUUGUUUUAUAUUUCUUUAAAAUGCCUAUUACAACAACGAAAGAAUUAGACGAUCUUUUAAAAAAAAGUCAUAGUAUAGAAAAAUGUUGGGGUGAAUUUGUCUUUGAACAAUGUAUAGGGUAUUUUUAAAUUAGUUUAGAAGAUAAUAAUAAUAUGUGUUCUGGCUGUCAAGGUCUAGUAUAGUCAAAGAUCGAGAUUUGCUAAGAAUAAAAGCAAAAAUUGAAGCUAAAAACAAAAAUAUUAAAAGUCUUAAAAACAAAGUAAAUAUAAGACACUUAUUCUUUGAAAAACU
rnacentral:lncRNA from 1 species